AUGCAUGUCUAAGUACAAACUUUUACAUAGUGAAACCGCGAAUGGCUCAUUAAAUCAGUUAUGGUUCCUUAGAUCGUACAAUCCUACUUGGAUAACUGUGGCAAUUCUAGAGCUAAUACAUGCAAAUCAGCUCCGACCUCCGGGGAAGAGCGCUUUUAUUAGAUCAAGACCAAUACGGGCUCUGCCCGUACCCUUUGGUGACUCUGGAUAACUUUGUGCUGAUCGCAUGGCCUUGCGCCGGCGACGUAUCUUUCAAAUGUCUGCCCUAUCAACUGUCGAUGGUACGUGCUAUGCCUACCAUGGUUUUUACGGGUAACGGAGAAUCAGGGUUCGAUUCCGGAGAGGGAGCAUGAGAAACGGCUACCACA
rnacentral:rRNA from 3 species